rnacentral:rRNA from 1 species
AUUGAACGCUGGCGGCAUGCUUUACACAUGCAAGUCGAACGGCAGCACGGGCUUCGGCCUGGUGGCGAGUGGCGAACGGGUGAGUAAUAUAUCGGAACGUACCCAGAAGUGGGGGAUAACGUAGCGAAAGUUACGCUAAUACCGCAUACGAUCUAUGGAUGAAAGCAGGGGACCGCAAGGCCUUGUGCUCCUGGAGCGGCCGAUAUCUGAUUAGCUAGUUGGUGAGGUAAAGGCUCACCAAGGCGACGAUCAGUAGCUGGUCUGAGAGGACGACCAGCCACACUGGAACUGAGACAAGGUCCAGAAUCCUAAGGGAGGCAGCAGUGGGGAAUUUUGGACAAAGGGCGCAAGCCUGAUCCAGCAAUGCCGCGUGAGUGAAGAAGGCCUUCGGGUUGUAAAGCUCUUUUGUCAGGGAAGAAACGGUAGAGGCUAAUAUCCUUUGCUAAUGACGGUACCUGAAGAAUAAGCACCGGCUAACUACGUG